rnacentral:rRNA from 1 species
AUGGCGACCGGCGCACGGUGAGUAACGCGUAUGCAACUUACCUAUCAGGAGGGGAUAGCCCGGCGAAAGUCGGAUUAAUACCCCAUAAAACAGGGGUCCCGCAUGGGAAUAUUUGUUAAAGAUUCAUCGCUGAUAGAUAGGCAUGCGUUCCAUUAGGCAGUUGGCGGGGUAACGGCCCACCAAACCGACGAUGGAUAGGGGUUCUGAGAGGAAGGUCCCCCACAUUGGUACUGAGACACGGACCAA